rnacentral:lncRNA from 1 species
CCAAGAGCUCUAGCAUUGAGUUCUACGGAUUUCAAGCAACAAAAGGCUUCAUUGAGAAGCUGGAUUGGACCAUUGUCCUUCUCACCAGAAACUAUACACUGCAGAAUUCUUAUAACAUCAUGUAUCUUCUCCUUUCUCAUCAUCUUAUUGCCAGCUAACUAAGGAACUCAUAUCACCUGACUCUUAAUGGCCACUUGAGCUUAUGGAUCCUAAAUGAUUAUUAACAUAGAAUUCAAAACAAGUUUGAGGGACACAGAUUUCGCCACCACUGUAUUUUAGCAUCUGAUCUAAGAAUGAAACAACUCUAAUUCCUCAACAUAACUAAGCAUGAGGAAAUACUUCCCAUGUUUCAGACUAGAAAAUCAUGUUUCAAGAGUCACAGAAGGAAUGAAUAUUUGCCUAAAGGACUAAAUAGUAUUGUUUUUUUUACAGUCAUCACCAACAAUGCAAGAUUUACUGUUUACCAAGGUAUUUGCAUUAGCUCGAUUACAUCAAAAAUUACUAUAAUAGUCCAACCGUGGGGGCAUAGUCUACAAAGAUCAAGAACACUACCUACAAUGU